CAAAGCAAUCUGUGGGGAUGAUACUCAAUAGAGUAUUUACAUAUGUUAGUCAAGAAGAUUGUCUGGGCGCAGUUCGUCGCACGCCAGGAGACCACGCUGGAAACACCAGAUACAUGUCUUGUUUGCAGUAUUUCCCGAAUACGGGUGGGCAGCAGAGUCUCAUAUCCAAGCAAUUGUAAACCAGAGUAAUUAGUAUAUCCAUCAAUAGAACACAUGGCAGAUAAACCACUCAGGUGGAAAAAGAGUGAGGGUGUUGGCAAUUUCGACGCUGAUAUAGCUGGCUCCCGCUGGAUAGUUACAAUCAACCAACCUGCCACCGUCAUCAUUUUUAAGAACUAUCAUCAAUAAGAUUAAAUAUAGGUUAUUCAUGUAAUAUACUAAUACUCACAUAAUUGUCUGAGAAGGGGAU
rnacentral:sRNA from 2 species